rnacentral:rRNA from 1 species
CCUACGGGAGGCAGCAGUGAGGAAUAUUGGUCAAUGGGCGAGAGCCUGAACCAGCCAAGUCGCGUGAGGGAGUACUGCCCUAUGGGUUGUAAACCUCUUUUGUCGGGGAGCAAAAGCCGGACGUGUCCGGCUGUGAGAGUACCCGAGGAAAAAGCAUCGGCUAACUCCGUGCCAGCAGCCGCGGUAAUACGGAGGAUGCGAGCGUUAUCCGGGUUUAUUGGGUGUAAAGGGUGCGCAGGCGGAUUUUUAAGUCAGCGGUAAAAUCGUGGGGCUCAACCCCAUCCAGCCGUUGAAACUGGGGAUCUAGAGUGUGCGAGAGGUAUGCGGAAUGCGUGGUGUAGCGGUGAAAUGCAUAGAUAUCACGCAGAACCCCGAUUGCGAAGGCAGCAUACCGGUGCACAACUGACGCUCAGGCACGAAAGCGUGGGUAUCGAACAGGAUUAGAUACCCCAGUAGUC